rnacentral:rRNA from 1 species
AUUUCACAAAUUGAGAUAGUUGCUAACUUUUCAUGACUACAAGAUUAAUUUUUAAUGUAAAAAAUAAAUCAAAACUAAACCCAACCUAGUCACACUAUACAGCUACCUCAACAAACCACAACCUUAAAACUCGGAUUAGAUACCCGACUACUAUGUGGCCCAACAUAAAAAAGAAUACUACGAGCGAAAGCUUAAACCUCAAACAAUGUGGCGGUGCUUUACUCCUUAUCAGGGGAUCCUGUGGCUUAAUUCGAUAAUCCACGAUAAAUCUAAGCUACCCUCGCAUUUCAGCUUGUGUAUGGCCGUUUAUGCUUGCUCAUAAAAGAAAAAAAAGGAAGCAAUAGAACUAAUCAUUCGACAAUUCAGGUGACAUACAGCCAAUGGGAAGCAGACCUAUGGGAUACAAAUAAAUACACUAACAAAUUCAAAGCUUUAAACUUUAAUGAAGGAGGACUUGAAAGUAAGACUUAAUACUUACAUAAAAUAGGUCUGAAUAAGAACUAAAGCGCGCACAAAUCGCCCGUCACUCCGACAAUAAAGUAGGAUAAGUCGUAACAUAGUAGGGGUAAUGGAAAUUGCCCCUAUAACA